rnacentral:rRNA from 1 species
GACGAACGCUGGCGGCGUGCUUAACACAUGCAAGUCGAACGGAAAGGCCCUGCUUUUGUGGGGUGCUCGAGUGGCGAACGGGUGAGUAACACGUGAGUAACCUGCCCUUGACUUUGGGAUAACUUCAGGAAACUGGGGCUAAUACCGGAUAGGAGCUCCUGCUGCAUGGUGGGGGUUGGAAAGUUUCGGCGGUUGGGGAUGGACUCGCGGCUUAUCAGCUUGUUGGUGGGGUAGUGGCUUACCAAGGCUUUGACGGGUAGCCGGCCUGGGAGGGUGACCGGCCACAUGGGGACGGAGAAACGGCCCAAACCCCUACGGGGGGCAGCAGGGGGGAAUAUUGCACAAGGGGGGGAGGCCUGAUGCAGCAACGCCGGGUGCGGGAUGACGGCCUUCGGGUGGAAAACCGCUUUCGCCUGGAACGAAGCGUGAGGGACGGUAAUGGGAAAAGAAGCACCGGCUAACUACGU